rnacentral:rRNA from 1 species
CAAUAGCGUAUAUUUAAGUUGCUGCAGUUAAAAAGCUCGUAGUUGGAUUUCGGGUGGGAAUGGCCGGUCCGCCGUUUCGGUGUGCACUUGCUACGCCCACCUUGCUGCCGGGGACGUGCUCUUGAGUUCACGCUCGGGACACGGAGUCGGCGAGGUUACUUUGAGUAAAUUAGAGUGUUCAAAGCAGGCCUACGCUCUGAAUACAUUAGCAUUGAAUAACACGAUAGGACUCUGGCCUAUCUUGUUGGUCUGUAGGACCGGAGUAAUGAUUAAGAGGGACAGUCGGGGGCAUUCGUAUUUCAUUGUCAGAGGUGAAAUUCUUGGAUUUAUGAAAGACGAACUACUGCGAAAGCAUUUGCCAAGGAUGUUUUCAUUAA